rnacentral:rRNA from 1 species
GACGAACGCUGGCGGCGUGCUUAACACAUGCAAGUCGAACGGUGAAGGGGUCUGCUUUUGUGGGCCCUGGAUGAGUGGCGAACGGGUGAGUAACACGUGAGUAACCUGCCCCCUUCUUCUGGAUAACCGCAUGAAAGUGUGGCUAAUACGGGAUAUUCUGGGUCUGUCGCAUGAUGGGUCUGGGAAAGAUUGCGCCUUUGGGUGUUUUUGGUGGGGGAUGGGCUCGCGGCCUAUCAGCUUGUUGGUGGGGUGAUGGCCUACCAAGGCGGUGACGGGUAGCCGGCCUGAGAGGGUGGACGGUCACACUGGGACUGAGACACGGCCCAGACUCCUACGGGGGGCAGCAGUGGGGAAUAUUGCACAAUGGGCGCAAGCCUGAUGCAGCGACGCCGCGUGAGGGAUGGAGGCCUUCGGGUUGUAAACCUCUUUCGCCAGUGAAGCAGGCCUGCUCCUUGUGGGUGGGUUGACGGUAGCUGGAUAAGAAGCGCCGGCUAACUACGUG